AGGGUUCCCGUACCCCCCGGCAAGGUCAUGCCAUCGCGACAUAGGUAAGUAUGCAUAUGGUUCAAACUGAUUUCUGAUGUCAUCUAUUGUUUGCAGGGAUCACGCCCGCAAGACACCCAGUGGACCCAGAGAAGUCCAACAGGGUCUUAGGGUUUCCAGCUCUGAUUACGGGCCUCUGUCAGUUCUACAGCUCGUCGCCCCCAACAAGGCCAUCAGGCCCCUAUUAACAGGGCUUUCAUCGAGAAGUACUGCGCCCCCAGGUAGGCGCAGGGCAAGGCAUCACGGCAGCGGGCAACAGACGCACCGCCACCACCUCUGGAGUUCACCUCAGCUCAUCCACAAAAAGGUUAGAGCGUUGCCUGCGACACAUGGCCG
rnacentral:lncRNA from 1 species